rnacentral:rRNA from 1 species
UAAACUAGGAUUAGAUACCCUAUUAUUGAAAAUGCAAAUUUUUACACUUGAGUAGUAGUAGUUAUGUUCUUGAAAUUUAAAGAAUCUGGCGGUAUUUUAGUCUAUUCAGAGGAACCUGUCCUGUAAUUGAUAAUCCACGAUUAAUUGUACUUGUUUUUAGUUUGUAUAUCGUCGUAGGUUGAAUGUUUUAAGAGAAAAUUGAAUGUUCAAGAUUUAUAUUUUAUAUAAAGGAAAUCAGAUCAAGAUACAGCGUAUAAAUAAGAAGAGAUGGGUUACAAUAAAUUUAUUUGUGUGAAUAAAGUAUUUAACAAUUCUUUUGAAAUUGGAUUUGAUAGUAAUGUGGUUAAGUUAAAUUACAUGAUUAUUAGCUCUAAAAUAUGUACAUAUCGCCCGUCGCUCCCUCUUCAAAGAUGGAUAAGUCGUAACAUAGUAGGUGUACUGGAAAGUGUACCUGGAAUGUCGAAUUAGAGCUUGACAGAAAGCAUUUUAUUUACAUUAAAAAGUUAAUUGUGUGAAUCAAUUUAAUUUGAAGUAAGAGAUUUAUUUGACAUGUGUAAAAAAAAUAUUUUUUAUAUUAGUAUAUUUAGGAAAAUAUAUAUUGAAUUAUAGUGUAUAGUAUAGUGAUAGAAUUAUGAAUUAAGAUUUAAAUUAAGAAAAAGAAGAAUUAAAUUUUUGUACCUUGUGUAUCAGGGUUUAUUAAAAUAAGUUGUUUAAGACAAUUUUCUCGAAUUGAAAAGAGCUAUAACCGUAUCAAUUUAAUUGUGGCAUAACUUUUUAUAAUAUGGUUAUGGAAGUGAAACGUUAGUCGUUUUUCAAGAUAUCUAGUUUCUUAAGAAAUAAAUUUAAUUUAUUUUUUCCGAGUUAUUGAGUUAAUUGUUUAGCUGUUUAAUUGGAAAAUUUAAUAUUUUAAGGGAUAAGCUUUAAAAAUAGAGUAUUAUAAUUAAAGGUUUUAAUUUUAAAGUUUAUAGGAUUGGAAGUGUCUAUUUUAGUGUGUUAUAACUAGCUUUAAAUAAAAUAAGAUUUAUAUAUGGUUUAGGUUUUCUAUUAAGAUUAUUUAUUUAAUUUAGGUUUAAAUGUAAUAAUGAUAAAAUUAGUAUAAAGUAUUGUAUGAUAUAUUUAUUAGUCGAGGUAAAGUUAAGGAACUCGGCAAAUACAUUUUCCGCCUGUUUAUUAAAAACACGUCUUUUUGAUUAUAAUUUAAAGUCUAACCUGCCCAAUGAGGAGUUAAAUGGCCGCGGUAAUUUGACCGUGCAAAGGUAGCAUAAUCAUUAGUUUUUUAAUUGAAAGCUGGAAUGAACGGUUGGACGAGAAAAUAGCUGUCUCAGCUUUAUUGUUAUUAGAAUUUUAUUUAUAAGUAAAAAAGCUUAUAUGAUUUUAAAAGACGAGAAGACCCUAUAGAAUUUUAUAGUUAUUUUAAUAUAUAAUUAUUGGAUUUGAGAGUUUUGUAUUGAAAGAGCUAUUUUGUUGGGGCGAUAGAAAAAUUGAAUAAACUUUUUCUUUAUGUAUUCACUGAUUAGUGUAUAGUUGAUCCGUUAUUUACGAUUAUAAGAUUAAAUUACCUUAGGGAUAACAGCGUAAUUUUUUUCUAGAGUUCUUAUCGAAAAAAGAGUUUGCGACCUCGAUGUUGGAUUAAAAUUAACUUUUGGUGCAGGAGCUAAAAGGUUAGGUCUGUUCGACCUUUAAAAUUUUACAUGAUCUGAGUUCAAACCGGAGA